rnacentral:tRNA from 1 species
GGGGGCAUAGCUCAGUUGGUAGAGCACCUGCUUUGCAAGCAGGGGGUCAUCGGUUCAAGUCCGAUUGUCUCCACCA